UUCCUGAGUCGGACUGGGCU
rnacentral:miRNA from 1 species